GGCCAUCCUCCCCAUACAGGAACUGCACCACACUGCCGUCACUGUCACGGACCGUGAGAUCAUACUGCACGACCAGCCCCUCUAGGUGCUUGAUGAUGCACCUGUAAGGACUUUACCUUUGGAGAUAGCCUGAGCGGCUGGUUUUCACAGCAGUGUCCACCAGGCCCUCUCGUCCUGCCAUGCAGUGGAAGAAGAACUCCUG
rnacentral:lncRNA from 1 species